rnacentral:rRNA from 1 species
GCUUAACGCGAAGAACCUUACCUACUCUUGACAUCCAGAGAACUUAGCAGAGAUGCUUUGGUGCCUUCGGGAACUCUGAGACAGGUGCUGCAUGGCUGUCGUCAGCUCGUGUUGUGAAAUGUUGGGUUAAGUCCCGCAACGAGCGCAACCCUUAUCCUUUGUUGCCAGCGGUUCGGCCGGGAACUCAAAGGAGACUGCCAGUGAUAAACUGGAGGAAGGUGGGGAUGACGUCAAGUCAUCAUGGCCCUUACGAGUAGGGCUACACACGUGCUACAAUGGCGUAUACAAAGAGAAGCGACCUCGCGAGAGCAAGCGGACCUCAUAAAGUACGUCGUAGUCCGGAUUGGAGUCUGCAACUCGACUCCAUGAAGUCGGAAUCGCUAGUAAUCGUAGAUCAGAAUGCUACGGUGAAUACGUUCCCGGGUCUUGUACACACCG